UUUAAAUAGUUUAAUUAAAAUUUUGAUUUGUGGUGUCAAAGAUGUAUUGAUAAUAUUUUAAAUAA
rnacentral:tRNA from 1 species